rnacentral:rRNA from 1 species
CCCUUAGAUGUUCUGGGCCGCACGCGCGCUACACUGAUGCAUUCAACGAGUCUAAAACCUGCUCUGAUAGGGGUGGGUAAUCUUUUGAAUGUGCAUCGUGAUUGGGAUAGAUGAUUGCAAUUUUUCAUCUUCAACGAGGAAUGCCUAGUAGACGCAAGUCAUCAGCUUGCAUUGAUUACGUCCCUGCCCUUUGUACACACCGCCCGUCGCUCCUACCGAUUGAAUGAUCCGAUGAAUAUCAUGGAUUGAGGAUGCAAGUAGGUUCGCCUAUCUUCAUCUUCGAGAAGUGAAGUAAAUCUUAUCAUUUAGAGGAAGGAGAAGUCGUAACA